GGAAAUUUUAAUCUUCGCAUCAACUGCCAGAACACAAAUAGUUACCCAGACAAAACAAACAUCCCCAGAAAGAGAGGGGAAGGAUGGGGCAUGCGCCAGCAGAGAAACAUGAUACAAGUCAUCAUCUAAAACUCUAUAUUAACCUCAUAACACAGAUCCAUGGUUCCAGAAAGAAUUCAUCGAACCAGCACAAAAGAAACAGAACACUAGAAUUCACAAUAGAAUCUAGUGGGGUCCAACGAAAUUUCAACCAUCUCCGCACAAGAUCAAGUCAUUACUGUUGCUUGCACUCAGCUGGUCGAUCUGCCUGCUGACCACCUCCACUUUUCUUUUUCGUAGUUCCCUUCUUGGGCUUGGUGCCCUCUUCAUCAUCGUCUUCCUCUUCUUCUUCAUCAUCCUCCUCGUCGUCAUCAUCUUCAUCCUCGUCCUCUUCAUCAAUAUCUUCAAGAUUAUCACCCCCUUCAAAGUCGACAAGGUCAUCAUCCUGAGCAGCCUCUCCAGUGAACCAUGAAACAGCAUGAGGGAUGAUCUUGUCUCGGAUAGUAGAUCCGAUGUCGUAAUCCUGCUCCAUUUGAUUUUGUAGCUCUUCAGCUUCUUCUUCAUCAAUAUCAGCAUCAUCAUCAGGGACUUCCGGAGGGCUAAAAAAAUUGAAGAAGCUCUCGCACUGCUCUGUUUUUGUGAUGGGCUUAGUAUUCUUAGAUCCCUUCUUUGGCUUCUUUACCAUAGUUUUCUGGGUCAAGCACUUGCCUGGAUACCAUACAAUCUUAGUCCCUAUUGCUUUCUCUAG
rnacentral:misc_RNA from 1 species